GCAAGGGGUAAGUAGAGUGGCAAACGGGUGAGUAACACGUGGGUGACCUGCCUUCGAGUGGGGGAUAACGUCCCGAAAGGGACGCUAAUACCGCAUGACAUCCUGCGUUUGGAAACGCGGAGAUCAAAGCCGGGGAUCGCAAGACCUGGCGCUUGAAGAGGGGCCCGCGCCUGAUUAGCUAGUUGGUGGGGUAACGGCCUACCAAGGCAACGAUCAGUAUCCGGCCUGAGAGGGCGGACGGACACACUGGGACUGAGACACGGCCCAGACUCCUACGGGAGGCAGCAGUGGGGAAUUGUUCGCAAUGGGCGCAAGCCUGACGACGCAACGCCGCGUGGAGGACGAAGAUCUUCGGGUCGUAAACUCCUGUCGAGCGGGAAGAACGCUUCCCGGGUGAAUAACCCGGGGAGGUGACGGUACCGCUAAAGGAAGCCCCGGCUAACUCCGUGCCAGCAGCCGCGGUAAUACGGGGGGGGCAAGCGUUGUUCGGAAUUACUGGGCGUAAAGGGCUCGUAGGCGGCCAACUAAGUCGGAUGUGAAAUCCCCAGGCUCAACUUGGGAACUGCAUCCGAUACUGGAUGGCUUGAAUUCGGGAGAGGGAUGCAGAAUUCCAGGUGUAGCGGUGANAUGCGUAGAUAUCUGGAGGAAUACCGGUGGCGAAGGCGGCAUCCUGGACCGGCAUUGACGCUGAUG
rnacentral:rRNA from 1 species